rnacentral:rRNA from 1 species
UGAAGAGAGAGUUCAAAAGUACGUGAAACCGUUCUAAGGCCAAACGUGAAAAGUCCAAAAGGGCGGAACAGGCUUCGAACGGGGGAAAUUCACGUCCAUCCGGCCACUGGCCUCCGCUCUCGGCAGAUGGGGCCGGCCGCCUGCUUACAUCCGCGUUUUUUCGUGUCCGGUUGCGGGGUGGGGCCGUUCCAGUGGCGGAACAUUUUCCACUCGCCGCUAAUUUGCGGUGGACCGCACUUCUCCCCUAGUAAGACGUCGCGACCCGUUAAAAUGCCGGCCUACGGCCUGGGUUCCUAGCUCGGUUCGUGUCUGUUGGGCAGAGACCCGGUGCUCUCGUUAAAGCCUGCUCAGCCUGUCCUUCCACGGCCUUCGGCGGUAUAUGUUGAGGAGUCAAUUCGCCAUUUUAAAAAAUUUCCGCCGGAAAGCGUGCGCGUUUAAAUGGCCUGACGAACCUACCUGGCCCGGCCCCGAAACCACUCCUCUGUUGGCACGGAAAGCCUUCCCGAAUCUCGGCUUAACUUGAAACACGGACCGCAAUGAAAGCUUUUUCAACGGCGCUCCGACCCGU